rnacentral:rRNA from 1 species
AGCGAACGCUGGCGGCAGGCCUAACACAUGCAAGUCGAACGGACCCUUCGGGGUUAGUGGCGGACGGGUGAGUAACACGUGGGAACGUGCUUUUAGGUUCGGAAUAGCUCCUGGAAACGGGUGGUAAUGCCGAAUGUGCCCUUCGGGGGAAAGAUUUAUCGCCUUUAGAGCGGCCCGCGUCUGAUUAGCUUGUUGGCGAG